rnacentral:rRNA from 1 species
GCCAGACUCCUACGGGAGGCAGCAGUGGGGAAUAUUGCACAAUGGGGGAAACCCUGAUGCAGCGACGCCGCGUGAGCGAUGAAGUAUUUCGGUAUGUAAAGCUCUAUCAGCAGGGAAGAAAAUGACGGUACCUGACUAAGAAGCCCCGGCUAACUACGUGCCAGCAGCCGCGGUAAUACGUAGGGGGCAAGCGUUAUCCGGAUUUACUGGGUGUAAAGGGAGCGUAGACGGCAAUGCAAGCCAGAUGUGAAAGCCCGGGGCUCAACCCCGGGACUGCAUUUGGAACUGUGUAACUGGAGUGCAGGAGAGGUAAGCGGAAUUCCUAGUGUAGCGGUGAAAUGCGUAGAUAUUAGGAGGAACACCAGUGGCGAAGGCGGCUUACUGGACUGUAACUGACGUUGAGGCUCGAAAGCGUGGGGAGCAAACAGGAUUAGAUACCCUCGUA